CUGACCUCAUCUCUCCAUGCAGUACUACCUGGAGCCGCCGGGACUGAAACCAGAAUCCUUCUUCACUGGGAGUCCCGGAUCAUCGUCGCACAAGACAGAGACGUCUUCGACUGAUGUCUGCAAAAACAAACAUUUCAUUAAAAAAACUGAAGAUUUGA